UUGCAGAGCGGCUCCCGGAGCCGAGCGGUAUGCUGGAAGGUGCUCGAAUGGAGAGCGCCAGCGCCCCGGCGCUGAGCAGCAGCCUCAGUACGCAAGGCCCAAACAAUUGGUGAUAAUGAAGAAACUCUACUACCAGACGUUGCGGGAUGCCUCAAUGACCUAAUCCAGUAAAUCACAGCUCCAGCUGUCCAUGAGCUCUGUCUACCAUCUGAGGAAUUGUUUCUUUUUAAUACAAAGACUGGCACUCAUCAGAUAAUAAUUUCUGGGAUAGAAGCAAAGUAUUGGUAUUUCUUUAAGUCUCUUGAAGGUGAUUCUACUGAGCUGGGAUUAAGAACACACUGCCUUAAUCCUUUCAUCAUCAACAAAAUUAAAUACUGUUACUAUUAACAGAAGGAAAAAAAAGCUGUUUAAAGAGAGUGAGAAAGUGUUAUACCAGGAAUGGGAGCAUGAUUUUGUCAUUGAGACCAUGGCCACUGGAGCAAGACCACCUGGGUUCAACUUGUAGCUCUGCCACUUGCUAUCUAUGAACCUAGGGCACGUUAUUUGGUCUCUCUGUGCCUCAGUUUCCUCAUCUGUAAGAUGGAAAUCAUAAUAGUCACUACCUCACAUGGAGAUCAUGAGUACUAAUUGAGUUUAUAUUGUUAGAGUGCUCAAAAGAGUGUCUGGCAUGCCAAGUACUAUAUAAAUAUUUAUUAUUAAUUUUCUAACAACUCAAGUUUUUCACAGGUCCAGGCUUGUAGUUGAAAUUGAUACACAGUCUAUCCACCAAAAUAGCCUUUUCUAUAGUGUCCUGCCUCAGGGUGGGAGGCACAGAAACUAGAAAUGAAAAUUGGACAAUUAGUAGCAUUGGUGUUCUAUCAGAUUAGAAGAAACAUUCAUUCAUUCAUUCAUUUAUUUACUUGGAGACAGUCUCGCUCUGUGAUCCAGGCUGGAGUGCAGUGGUGCAAUCCCAGCUCACUGCAACCUCCACUUCCCUGGUUCAAGCGAUUCUCGUGCCUCAGCCCCCCGAGUAGCUGGAAUUACAGGCACACACCACCUUGCCUGGCUAAUUUUUGUAUUUUUAGUACAGACAGGGUUUCACCAGGUUGGCAAGGCUGGUCUCAAACUCCUGACCUCAAGUGGUCUGCCUACCUCGGCCUCCCAAUGUGCUGGGAUUACAGGCAUGAGCCACCACACCCAUCCAGAAGAAACAUUUAACCUAUUGAAUGCAUACUAUUAUAAAUACCAACAACUAGGACAUUAAAAUAGUAAUGGGAAAAUAAUUUUAGGAUUAAAAUAGAAUUCUUCAUUUGAUAAUACUCGAGGUGGAGCAAACAAAAUGGAACGGUGUCUAAGAAGAGGCAUCUUACAAGAUUACUUUUCUAGAGGCUAAAGGAAAUUAUCUUGGGCACCGGUUAUAGCCUGAGGGGCAAGUCUGUCUGUAUCUAAUAAAAGUGUCUUCUGAAAAAAGAAACAGAGAGGGAACUUUAAAGUGGAGCAUCUUGUUUUAUGAACAGCUGGAAGUGCCUACAACUCCUCCCCAAACUGAAAAGAUUACUUUUACACUAUGCAUUUUACAAUUUUACGUACACAUUUUUAAAACUCUUUUGGGAUGUGGAAGGUUUAUUUAUUCAGCCACCCAUAGCAAAUUCAAAUAGACUCCUGGCUAUCUAAAAAGCCACAGCACUCGGAAUUUCUCCCAUGGUGGUGGGGGAUGGGGAUGCUCCAUGGGGAAAUUUGUUCCCUCACCUGUAGGCUUCACUCCAAAACAAGGCAAUAGGACUGCAAUGACUUCUGUGACUCUAGCCAUGGUAAUGCCUUGCAGUGGGGGGGUUACAUUUUGCAUCUCUCUAAGCUUCCAUACUGGGCCAGCAAUAUCACUGAAUUCUUCCAAGAGAAAAUAGCUCCCCCAAAGGUGGCACCCACAGGAAUCUCUGCCAGGUUCCCAAGUCUACUGAUUCUUGCAUUCCACCCCUUCCCUCAAGGUUCAAUUCCUUUAUUUUAAAAUUAUAUCCUUUAGAAACUUUUUUUUUAGCAAAGACUUGUGAGAGGUCAAUUCUCCUUCUUUUUAAAAACAUCAGUCAUAAAGGAUACUUCUGUUUGAUGUAGACUUUUAGAUUAAAGUUCUGAGUAAAGAUGGUGGAUUGAACCACAAAUCCAAAUUUUGCUUUUCCAGAAAUCAUAUAAAACUACAAUGAAUAUAUAUUAUUUAGAAAUGCAUGAACCUUUAAGAAUAUGGGAAAUGGGAGAAGAGACAACAACUGACUUCUGGAAGCCGGAAAGAAGAUGGGUAAAUAAACUAACCCAACAUGUCAAAGAAA